rnacentral:rRNA from 1 species
UACGAAGGGGGCAAGCGUUAUUCGGAAUGAUUGGGUGUAAAGGGCGUGUAGGCGGCUUGAUAAGUCUGUUGUUUAAUUUUCCAGCCUAACUGGAAGUCUGCAGCGGAUACUGUCUUGCUUGAGUAUGAUAGAGAAAAGUGGAAUUCUCGGAGUAGCGGUAAAAUGCGUAGAUCUCGAGAGGAACGCCAAUGGCGAAGGCAGCUUUUUGGAUCAUUACUGACGCUAAUGCGCGAAGGCGUGGGGAGCAAACAGG